rnacentral:sRNA from 1 species
UCUUCUCUUUGUAUCCUCUCCACAUAAGCCAACAUCCCGCGCCUAGC